rnacentral:lncRNA from 1 species
UUCCAACUCGACUAUUCUUUUCUUUCUAUGUUUUCCAUUAGCUAUGAGAUGGAAAUAUUGUGUGUUGUCAUCUCCUUGUAUGACAUGGCGGACUUUCGCUCGAAGUGCCCACUUCAACUCCUCUUCUCUGAGUAGUUGUUUGAGCUUUAAUUCAGCCUCCGCUUUAAAUGACCUCUCAUUGUCAUCUAAAAACGAUUGUUCGGCCUUAAUGUCCAGCGAAUUUAUAAUUUGAGAAGUCUUUGUUUCUCUUUCUUAUAAAUCCCACUCUCAUGCUUGGCCCAACCCCGUAAGAAUUGUCUCAGGUGCCUUAUCUUAUUUUGCCACCUUUCGACAUUGGUAUCACCUUCCGUAACCAUAUCCCAUUCUCUGGCGACAAUGUCUACAAACCCCUC